UACGGGGGGGGCAAGCGUUGUUCGGAAUUACUGGGCGUAAAGCGUGCGCAGGCGGUGAGCUGUGUCCGAUGUGAAAGCCCCGGGCUUAACCUGGGAAUGGCAUUGGAAACUGGCUCGCUGGAGUGUGGCAGAGGGGGGUGGAAUUCCGCGUGUAGCAGUGAAAUGCGUAGAGAUGCGGAGGAACACCGAUGGCGAAGGCAGCCCCCUGGGCUAACACUGACGCUCAGGCACGAAAGCGUGGGGAGCAAACAGG
rnacentral:rRNA from 1 species